rnacentral:rRNA from 1 species
UACAGAGGUCUCAAGCGUUGUUCGGAUUCAUUGGGCGUAAAGGGUGCGUAGGCGGCGCGGGUAAGUCGGGUGUGAAAUCUUGGAGCUUAACUCCGAAACUGCAUUCGAUACUGCCGUGCUUGAGGACUGGAGAGGAGACUGGAAUUUACGGUGUAGCGGUGAAAUGCGUAGAUAUCGUAAGGAAGACCAGUGGCGAAGGCGGGUCUCUGGACAGUUCCUGACGCUGAGGCACGAAGGCCAGGGGAGCAAACAGG